CGGCCGCUGAUCUCCCCCAUCCGCCUGUGUCGCAGGGUUCUCGCUCACUUCAGUAACGUGCUGCUGGUGCUGGAGGGGACGACGGACUUCCCCGAGGAGCUGCAAGGGACGAAGAGGGGCCUGCUCUACCUGACGCAGUAUAAGAUAAUAUUCCACCACAAGGCCAAGGGCUCUACCACUAUUCGAUUUCCACUUCAGCUGCUGGGCACCUGUGCGAUCGGGGAGGAGCCAAACACCAAGCAGCAGCAUAUCAAAGGGACCAUUAGUAUGUGCUGAACCUCUUCACUCUCCGGCCAGACAUUGCUGUGGGUCACUGUGUCUCAAAGUUGGCAG
rnacentral:lncRNA from 1 species